CCUCCCUUCCCCUUCCACCCCUUUGCCCUAUCUAGAGUUCAUCUAUUCCUCCCAUGCCCCCCCUCCCAACCCCACUAUAAAUCAUCACUAUAUCAGAGAAAAUAUUUAGCAUUUGGUUUCUUGGGAUUAGCUAACUUCACUUAGAAUUAUAUUCUCCAACUCCAUGCAUUUACCUGCAAAUGCCAUGAUUUCAUUCUCUUUUAUUGCUGAGUAAUAUUCCAUUGUAUAAAUAUAUACUACAUUUUCCUUAUCCAUUCAUUUUCUGAUGGGCAUAUAGGUUGGUUCCACAGCUACUGUGAAUUGUGCUCCUAUAAACAUUGAUGUGGCUGUGUCUCUAUAGUAUGCUGAUUUUAAAUCCUUUGGGUAUACACUGGGGAGUGGGAUAGCUGGGACAAAAGGUGGUUCCAUUCCCAGUUUUCCAAGAAAUCUCCAUAUUGCUUUCCAUAUUGGCUGCACCAAUUUGCAGUCCCACCAGUAAUGUAUGAGUGUGCCUUUUCCCCCCACAUCCUCACCAAUACUUAUUGUUGUUUAUCUUUUUUUUAAAAAAAAAAAGAGAGAAAUUUUUAAUAUUUAUUUUAUUUUAUUUUUUAGCUUUCGGUGGACACAACAUCUUUAUUUUAUUUUUAUGUGGUGCUGGUGAUAUGAGAAUGGAAACCCCUGCUUGUUUCUGCAGUUUAUGUGAGUGGUAUGAAUUUUCCCAGCCUUUCACCUUCAGUUUGUGGAUGUCUUUUCCUAUGAGAUGAGUCUCUUGGAGGCAGCAUAUUGUUGGGUCAUUUUUUUUUUUUUAAAUCCAAUCUGCCAGUCUACGUCUUUUGAUUGGUGAGUUCAGGCCAUAACAUUCAGGAUUAUUAUUGAGACAUGAUUUGUAUUCCCAGCCAUUUUAGUUUAUUUUUGGUAUUUAACUUGACUUGGUUUCCCCUUCAAUUAGUUUUUCCUUUAGUGCAAUACCUCCCUUUGCUGAUUUUCAUUGUUUUUCAAUUCCUCUUCAUGGAAUAUUUUGCCGAGGAUGUUCUGUAGUUGCAAGUUGUAAAUUCUUUUAAUUUUUGUUUAUCAUGGAAAGUUUUUAUUUCAUCAUCAAAUCUAAUGCUUAAUUUUGCUGGAUAUAAGAUUCUUGGUUGGGAUCCAUUUUCUUUCAGAGCUUGAUAUAUGUUGUUCCACAAUCCUCUAGCUUUUAGGGUCUGGGUUGAAAAAUCUGCACAUAAUCUAAUUGGUUUCUCCCUGUAUGUAAUCUGAUUUCUUUCUUUUGUGGCUUUUAGUAUUCUCUCCUUAUUCUGUAUGUUAGGCAUUUUGGUGUGGAUCUGUUUAAUUUUGUACAUUUGAUGUCCUGUAAGCCUCCUGAAGUUGGUUUUCCAAUUCAUUCUUCCUGUUUGGAAAAUUUUCUGAUAUUAUUUCGUUGAAUAGAUUGCUCAUUCCUUUGGUUUGGAACUCUAUGUCUUCCUCUAUCCCAAUAACUCUUAUUAAAUUUGGUCUUUUAAUACUAUCCCAUAUUUCUUGAAUUGUCUGCUCAUGGUUUCUUACCACUUUUACUGUGUGGUCUACAUUCUUUUCAAAAGUAUGUAUUUUGUAUUCAUUGUCUGAGGUCCUGAGGUCCUGUCUUCCAAGUGGUCUAAUCUGUUGGUGAUGCUUUCAAUUGAAUUUUAAUUUGGUUUAGUAUUUCUUUCAUUUCAAGGAUUUCUGUUUUGUUUUGUUUUUUUAGAACCUAUAUCUCCCUAUUGAAGUAAUCUUUUGCUUCCAGUAUUUGCUUAUGUAGCUCUUAGUCAAAAUGAUCUUUUGCUGCCUGUAUUUGCUGUAUUAUAACAUCCUUUAAUUCACAGAACAUUUUAAUUAUGUACAUCCUGAACUCCUUGUCUGUCAUUUCUGCUGCUUCCUCUGGCCUAAUAAUGUGGUAUCUUGAUUUGUUUGGGGCACUUUCUUCCCUUGUCUUUUCAUAUUGCUUGUGUGUCUUCCCUUCUAGCACUGUGGAUCCCAGACAUUACCAUUUUUACCCUAUAAGCUUAUAGUGCCCCUGUAGGGAUCAAAUACCUCUCCUUUGAGGUGAAGGACAAUGUUAACAGAUCUCAGUAUAAACAAUAUGCACCUCAAAAACAAAUGUUUGCUAUUAAGAUGUUUACAGAUUGGUCACAAUGUACAGAAAUGGUGAAUUCAAUUAUUAUCUACAAUAUUCUCAGUAGGUUUGUAAAAGGGUUUAUAGUUUCUGAUGUUGGACAAAGAACCAGGGGUGAGGAGUAGGAUGAUAUGCCAAGGAGGCAGGAGGAGAGGAUAUAGAGUUAUUAUAUCUUAGGAAGUGUGAAAGAGAAAUCUAAAGAGGAAGAUUAGUAGCAGAAGAAGGGAGAGGAAGUAAUUUUGGGGAGACAAGUAAGUAGGAAGACAAUAGAGUACAUAAAACAAACAUACAUAUAUAUUUAGAAAAAUAAAAAAAUGUUAAAAUAGUAGGAAUUGGUGGGAAAAAGAAAAAAGGAUAAAGAAAAAAAUAUAUAACACAACUGUAAUAUACUAUUCAGAUGUCCCAGUCCUCAAAAUCAUAAUUCAUGCAAAGUACUUGGUUUCACAUGUGUUGGGAAUGUGAGAAUGGAAGAAUAGAGAGGAAGAGGGAAAAAAAAAUCUUGAAGGAAGAAACAGGGAUUGUUUCAGUUGGAGAUCAGUAUCUUUCCUGCUCCCUUCUCAUCUAAUAGGUGGGUUCAUCUGUUGUUAGCUGGUGUGUCCACCCUCAGGAUGGUAAAGGUAACCAGGGUAUCACUGUGUUGGGGUAGUGGCUGCUGGGGAGAGGGGGGGAGUUAAAAACUGGGUACCCCAGAUGGAUUUCCAAACUGGGAGUUGCCCCCACUGAAAAUGGUGAUGAAGGUGGCCCAAGAUUGAGGUGCCUGCUUUCAGUGAUGGGAUGUUGGGUUAGGUGGGAGGAGCCAGGAUGAUUUCAGAGAGGAGCACUGUGGUGCAGAGCAUGUGGCUGUCAGCUGACUUCAGAGCCUGUGUGAGGUUCUUGGACCCAGGCAGGCUAAGGCACGUAGGGUACUGUCUCUGCUGCUGUAGAAUCCUAAGAUGUCGGUGACUGGGGGAGCCCCACAUGGGCAGAUGGGGCUCCACAUGGGAGUAGCGGCCAGAGUUCCCACGCCUGGGAAACUGCCAGGUGUCCUUUGUGGGAGCAGUGUUCAUGCUUUCUGCUCGGGUGGGUGGCCAAAAGUUCUGCAUGGGUGCUGAUGCUGAUGGUCCUGCCCUGGUAUCUGGUUGUCCUGCAUGGUUGAGUAGUUGGGAGACCUGCUCUGACACUGAGGCCUAGAGCCCUGGACUGGCAUGGUGACCAUGAUUCCUGCGAGGGAGCAGGAGCAUCACUCGCAGAGAAGCAGUAUUCUCACUACUUGAGUCCCAGGUCACAGAGUGACACAGACUGCUGCCUUCCUCUUACCCACCAUCUUGGUUUUCAACUGUUAUCUCCUAACAGUUGUUGAUGUCAUAUUUCCAAGGAGGCAUUUUCCCUUCUCUGCCCUGUUAACAAGUACAUACUACUGACUUUUGGCUACGUGUCCAGCCCUAUGGUCGUCUCUCUGAUGGUGAAAAAGAAUUGUGAGACAGUGUCUGAUCUCUAGAAGUUUAUAAUCUAUGUUGGAUGAUAAAUGAAGGUUCAUGUUGCCAUCUAUAAUCAAUAAAAUGAAAGGAAUGCUGCAUAAUGAAGGAUUAAAAGUAUGACACAGGUGAGAAGUGCUACUGAAAUAUAGAGCAGAAAGAGGCAAAAGAAGGAAUGAAAAUUGACAGUUAAGAAGAAUCAGUCACAUUCUAGGAAUCUGACUUGACCUCUCAUUGAAUUCCCACCACACUCCUUCAACAAGGCUGGAACUGGAGGGAGAGACAUGGGCUGGGUAGUAAUGGAGAGGGACUGAGUAAGUCUGUGUUGAGCAAGCCUUGAAAGAGGUGGAGAAGAAGAGAGAAGUGAAAAACGAACAUAAGGAGACAUGUUUAGCUGUCAUGUUGAAGGGAAGGGGAAUUGCUACUGAAUUCAAAUGGGCAUGAAUAUGGAGAGUCUCGAACACCAGGGAGAGCUUUUAGUUAGAAGUGGCAAGAUAGUGAUGGCUGCUACUGGAUAGUAGUGAUGGCUACUGGUGUUCUGUUGAUCCCCAUUUAAAACAGUAAAGGAAGAAUUCUGAAGUGGAAGAAGGAAAAAACAGCUUGGAAGAAGCAGUGGCGGGCCUCAUUUUAGUAUAUGGUGGGGACAGAAAUCCAAAUGAACAGAUUAAUUAACAAAGAGAUUUUCUAGGAAUGAUUGGCAGGACUCAGAAACGGCUUAGUAUUGGGGAUACAGGAAUAUAUCCUUAACAUAGGAAAUGGGUUAAUCAAAGUAAAUUCUAUAAAUUUAAGUUUAAAAGUUCAGGUAAAUGUUGGCAGGUGGUAUGGCAUAGUGAAAAGAACAUGAGCUUUGAAAUCAGCAAACCUGGGUGUGAGUCCCAACCCUACCACUUACUUCCAUGUAACCUUGGGCAGAGUCCUCUGCAUGGGUACACUGAUACAUAGUAUCUACUUCAUUGAUCUAUGUGAAGAUUAAAUAACAUGAUUACUGUAAAGCACUUAGAACAGCUCCUGUCACAGAGAAUUACAGAAAACUGUAAGGUCAGAAACCCUUCAACACAAAAAAUCCUUUGGACCUCCAAAUAUUUUUGUCAGUAAGCAAGCAGAGAAGACCACUUACCACCCAACUAAGGCCCAGUUUUCUGACACUCCUAAUUGUGUGUGUGUGUGUGUGUGUGUGUAAUAAUGUGUAUUGUUUUAAGCCUCUAAGUUUGGAGUAAUUUGUUCCACAGCAACAGUUAACCAUAUACAUUUUACUGAAACAUGUCUGAUCUCAUUAAGCCUCACAGCAAACUGGAUAAAAAGUACCCACAAAUUUGAGAAAAGACAGUUUGUUCUUUAGCUAUGGUGCCAUACCAAGUAGAUACCAGUACUAGUUUUAAACCUGUGCAAUCAAUAAUGACCUAAGUGAACAUGCUUUUGAAAGCUAGCUUGUCAAUGCCAGCUCCUUUUAACUGAAAGUCACCUGAUGUUCUUUUAGAAAUGAUGACUUGAUUGAUGGAUUGAUUUCCAAAGGCAUCUUCAUGGAGUACUAUGGUCUGAAUGUUUGUUUCCUCCCAAAAUCCAUUUGCUAAAAUCCUAACCCCCACCAUGAUGGCAUUAGAAAAUGGGAUCAAAUCUUUGGGAGAAUAUUAAUUGAUGGUUACUUAUAAAAGAGGCCCAAGGACAAUUACACAGCCUUUUCCACCAUGGAAGGACACUGUGAGAAGAAAACAUUUGUGAACCAGAAAAUGAGCCCUCAUAGACACCUAACCUGCUGCUACCCAUAUCUGGGACUUACUAGCUUCCAGAACUGUGAGAAGUAAAUUUCUGUGUUUCUUAAGUUUCCUAGUCUAAAGGUUAUAAGUAGCCCAUGCUGUUAUAGCAGCCUCUAUAAGACUGAGAGAAUUUGUUGAUCCACUGAUCAGGUUUAAACUGGUUCAAAUGACUGCAUUUUACCAUGGUUACAAAAUAGCUCAGCCUUUCCUCAUGUGUGGGAAAUUUUUGUAUUCUCAAAAGAUCAUGUUCUGAUUGAAGGGAGAUUGGGAACCAUGUUUCCAGGUGAAUGGGGGAUAGUGUCUGUUUGGUGAACUGACACUGGCCAAGCUUACUUGUUUAAAAAGAGCUGUGUCUGAAGCAAAGAAUGGUGCCCUAUAGAGAAUUACCAGGAGUUUAUCACUUCAUAUUUCAUCAUUUUUAUCAAAUUUUCUUUUGGUGUUUCUGGGGAUCGAAACCAGGGUCUCACACACACAAGGGAACCAUUCUAUCACCAAAGCCCUUUUGAAAUUUUUCAUUUUGAUACAAGGUCUCUUUGAGUUGUCCAAGAUGGUUUCCAACUUGUAAUCUUCCUGCCUCAGCCUCCCAAGUAGCUGAGAUUACAGGCAUGUACCACUAUGCCCCAUCCAAAUGUCUGAAUAGCAUCUUCAAAAGUCAUCUUUCUCCUUUCCUUUAGAUAGGACUGCCCCCCACCAUAAUUUGACAAGAUGGUUAUAUUUGUUUAUACACUGCCUAGAGUCUCAAAAUCUUCUCUUAGCUUUUAUUUUUCUGUAUUUUUUUCCAUCCUUGGACUCAGGAAGUUCUUUCUGUAUCUAACAUUGUCCUUUCCUAUUAUGACUAUCCAAGUCAGGAGAACCCUGCACAUUUUCCUGUGUAUAAAGCUCAUCUACAAUGGUUGUCAUCUCUGGGCAUGUGUUUACUUUGCCCCACAUCUCCCAAGAGAACAAGAAAUAUGAGAUUUGCAAUUUGCCUACUCACCACACUGUUUGGAAUUAUUACCUCCCUCUCUGAACAUCUUGGCACAUCUUAAAAGAAGGGAUGGGAUACAGAAAGAAGACAAACUUUGUCCCAGCUCUGCAGCUCUUGAAUCUGCUUGAGUUCUCACUUCCAAACCCUAGUUUCACCCAGCACACAAGGACCAGGGAAGGAAACUACAGAGCAAAGCAGAAGCUCUAAGUCAUGAAAACACUGUGGAUCAGAGGAUAGGCCCUGAGGCUGUGAUAGCUGUACUCUUAAGGUAGGUAUAAAGUGGCUUGGUCAGAGGUAACUCCUAUUAUAGGAUCACCAUGAUUCAGCUUUCCUUCAAUUUUCCUAGAAGACUUGAACUAGGGAAAGCAUUUUUGUAUUAUACAUAGAUAUUUACAGAGUAGAAUUUAAAGUUGAUAUGAGUUUUUAAAGAAGGAAACUUGAAAAUCUUAANUAUCUCUGCAAAUAUACCAGAAAGCACCAAGAUUAUCUUC
rnacentral:lncRNA from 1 species